CUUUCUACAUUUUAAAAUUCUGUGUUGCAGCUGGAGAUUAAGCAGCCAUGAAGGAGCACUUGAUCAAAGUAGCUGCCCACCUGUUGUCUGAUGCACUACAGCCCACUUGUUUUUUUCCUUCAUUUUUUUCAACCUCUCCCACACCUUGUCUGCACACUUUGUCUACCUGCUGUAAUAAACAGAACCAGAAAUGGAACAGGAUUGUGGAUAAACAUUUGUGGAAAUAAACAGGCCCACCCAUCGCUAGGCAAUCGAUAACACCAGUGGCCACUCAACAAACAACUUGCCUGUGUGCAUGUUUGCUAUCAGAUCCAUGCGCUCAAAGAUCCAUCUUCUGUGACAAGACCGUGGUGUAAAUUAGGACCUGUCCAAGAAGCUUCCUCCAGAAAGCUGCUGAUCCUCACCUUCUUUUUUAAGUCCAAAGGUUGAGUUCAGCCCUGUCACGCCAUAAAUAUUUCAGGCUUCAAGGAGUCAAGCAGAGAUCGUUACUGGUAUGGUGUUGAGCAAAGACUGUGGCUUGGCUCCCUGACAGCAAGUCACAUGGGGCCUGCAAUUACAAUCAAACACACCUAUCCUGUGAGAAAGAUUCCUCCCAGUCCUGUCUCAUGACAGUUCACCUGGAACGAAAUAGGAAGUAACGGCCCAUAUGUGUUGUCCCUGAUGAGUGUGGAAGAUAAACAUGUGUGUAAGAGGGAGAGGAAGUGGUUUGACCACACAUUUUUAUCAUGUCAUGAGUGGGGAGAGUUGAACUGAUUUCUUGGAACCCAUGAAUGGACUCUGAUAGCAGUCGGACGAAUGUCUUCAAUGUGGAUCAGUGAAAGGAAUUCUUACUAAGGGCCCUGAAGUACUUUGGGUUCCAGACGUACACCUUCACAAGUGAAAACAACUUUCUAACACAGAGAAACUCUUGGCCCUGCAAAUGUUGCUGGACUCCAGGAUCUAUCAGCUCCAGUCAACCAGACCAAUGGGCACAGAUGAUGGGAGUUGGAGUCCAACAAUAGCUAGAGGGUCACAGUUUCUCCCCAUCCUUGUUCUAACAGGAGGAAACUCUUUGCGCCUGGAGAAAAGGACCCCAAAAAAGGAUUUUGAGAAGAGACUCUGAGCAGUUUUGCUACAGGACUACACACACACAAAGUACCAGCAAAAAAGGGGGGAUGUUGUUAGGGGGUGGCCCAGGAGGGCUGAGCCAUGGGAUUCCCUUUGAUUAGUUACAUGUUUGAAAACCUCCCCUUGCCAUCUUGGUAUACACCCACUCACAACAUCAUUGGGCAGGUAUAGAUACCCCUCCCAUUGCUGUGACCACCUACAUCUGUUUUCAAAUGGACACACCCAGGAUAAUGCAGAAUCAAUCUGCAAUGAGCUUUUCUUUUUGGAAUGAAACCAGUCUGUCAAAAAGCACUUUUUUGCAAUAGGUCUAAAUUGUUUGCGGACUAGGUAGAAAAAACCAAAAAACUCACUCCUCAUUGGUUCUAGAAUAAAAUGUUUAUGUGUAUGCAACUCUUGAUGAACUAGUGCUCUGACUCAGGAUGCAUACACUUUAACUUGUUUGUAGCACAAAACAAUAGCUUUUCUCAAUCCAGAUUUGUUCAUGCUCAUUGUCAACAUGCUGCUUUCAUUCUAGAUUGAUUCUCGAUCCUGCCUUCCACAAGGAUAUGUGUGUUUUGGGGGGGGGUGCUGGGCAAGAUGCCCUUGGUGAACAUAAUCAGUAGGUCUAGAUUGUCUGUGGACUUGGUAGAGAAAACAGAAACUCGGUCCCCAUUGAUUGUAGAAUAAAAUAUUGUGUGUGCUCAGCCCUAGAUGGACCAGUGGUCCGACUCAGGCUACAAACACCCUAACCCAUUUAUAGCACACUCCAACAAAUUUGCUGCAUGGGACAUUUGGAGAUAUCCUACUCCUUCCCCUACUUUUUAAAAACUUUAAAAUUGCUUUUUAAAAAAUUUCUUACAGGGAGUGCUGGUGAGAAAGAAGUGGUUUUGCCCUUCUGAACAAAAAUUUAAAAAUGAGUUAGUAAUGUCAAGUUUGGCCAAACCUCCGAAAUCCAGGUGAACACAGGAUUCACCAGAACUUCAGGAUCAGCCAC